rnacentral:rRNA from 1 species
GCCGAACCGUGCAAACGUUAUUCGGAAUCACUGGGCUUAAAGGGCGCGUAGGCGGGUCGGCAAGUCAGGGGUGAAAUCCUCCAGCUCAACUGGAGAAGUGCCUUUGAUACUGCCGACCUCGAGGGAGGUAGGGGCGUGCGGAACUUCCGGUGGAGCGGUGAAAUGCGUAGAUAUCGGAAGGAACACCGGUGGCGAAAGCGGCGCGCUGGACCUCUGCUGACGCUGAGGCGCGAAAGCCAGGGGAGAAAACGGG